rnacentral:rRNA from 1 species
UACGAAGGUCCCAAGCGUUAUCCGGAUUUAUUGGGUUUAAAGGGUGCGUAGGCGGUCUAUUAAGUCAGUGGUGAAAGCCCCAAGCUCAACUUGGGAACUGCCAUUGAUACUGAUGGACUUGAGUACAUUUGAGGUGGGCGGAAUUGACGGUGUAGCGGUGAAAUGCUUAGAUAUCGUCAAGAACACCGAUAGCGAAGGCAGCUUACUAGGCUGUAACUGACGCUGAGGCACGAAAGUGUGGGGAUCAAACAGG